GCUCAGAUUGAACGCUGGCGGCAGGCUUAACACAUGCAAGUCGAACGGUAACAUAAAGAAGCUUGCUUCUUUGAUGACGAGUGGCGGACGGGUGAGUAAUGCUUGGGAAUCUAGCUUAUGGAGGGGGAUAACUACGGGAAACCGUAGCUAAUACCGCGUAGAAUCGAGAGAUGAAAGUGUGGGACCUUCGGGCCACAUGCCAUAGGGUGAGCCCAAGUGGGAUUAGGUAGUUGGUGAGGUAAAGGCUCACCAAGCCGACGAUCUCUAGCUGGUCUGAGAGGAUGACCAGCCACACUGGGACUGAGACACGGCCCAGACUCCUACGGGAGGCAGCAGUA
rnacentral:rRNA from 1 species